AGCUAGUUGGUGUGGUAAAGGCGCACCAAGGCGACGAUCCUUAGCUGGUCUGAGAGGAUGAUCAGCCACACUGGGACUGAGACACGGCCCAGACUCCUACGGGAGGCAGCAGUGGGGAAUAUUGGACAAUGGGCGAAAGCCUGAUCCAGCAAUGCCGCGUGAGUGAUGAAGGCCUUAGGGUUGUAAAGCUCUUUUACCCGGGAUGAUAAUGACAGUACCGGGAGAAUAAGCUCCGGCUAACUCCGUGCCAGCAGCCGCGGUAAUACGGAGGGAGCUAGCGUUGUUCGGAAUUACUGGGCGUAAAGCGCACGUAGGCGGCUUUGUAAGUUAGAGGUGAAAGCCUGGAGCUCAACUCCAGAACUGCCUUUAAGACUGCAUCGCUUGAAUCC
rnacentral:rRNA from 1 species